rnacentral:rRNA from 1 species
AUUGAACGCUGGCGGCAGGCCUAACACAUGCAAGUCGAGCGGAUGAAGGGAGCUUGCUCCUGGAUUCAGCGGCGGACGGGUGAGUAAUGCCUAGGAAUCUGCCUGGUAGUGGGGGAUAACGUCCGGAAACGGGCGCCAAUACCGCAUACGUCCUGAGGGAGAAAGUGGGGGAUCUUCGGACCUCACGCUAUCAGAUGAGCCUAGGUCGGAUUAGCUAGUUGGUGGGGUAAAGGCCUACCAAGGCGACGAUCCGUAACUGGUCUGAGAGGAUGAUCAGUCACACUGGAACUGAGACACGGUCCAGACUCCUACGGGAGGCAGCAGUGGGGAAUAUUGGACAAUGGGCGAAAGCCUAAUCCAGCCAUGCCGCGUGUGUGAAGAAGGUCUUCGGAUUGUAAAGCACUUUAAGUUGGGAGGAAGGGCAGUAAGUUAAUACCUUGCUGUUUUGACGUUACCAACAGAAUAAGCACCGGCUAACUUCGUG